UCAGAUUACCCACUUCUUUCAACUGUUACUAACAUACCCCUAGGACUCAUCCUGUGGGCUACUGUAUGGGAAAAGCAGUCUAACGGAAAAUUUACACAAGUCAAAAAGGAAAUCGUCCUCAGCACAAUCGACUUAAGAAGGCUAUCAUACACUUACUUCAACGGAACUUACACAAGUAAUGGUGGAAGUACAGCUUGCUAUGUC